GGUUGCGUGGCCUAAUGGAAGGGCGCCUGAGAGUGGACAGAAGAUUCCGGGCUCGACUCCCGGCACAGCCG